rnacentral:sRNA from 1 species
GCCAGGUGGUGUGGUGCACGCCUGUAAUCCCAGUGGCUUGGGAGGCUGAGGCAGGAGGUUCAUGAGUUCAAAGCCAGCCUCAGCAAAAGCAAGGUGCUAAGCAACUCAGUGAGACCCUGUCUCUA